rnacentral:rRNA from 1 species
GUGUCAGCAGCCGCGGUAAGACGUAGGGCGCGAGCGUUGUCCGGAAUUAUUGGGCGUAAAGAGCUCGUAGGCGGCUUGUUGCGUCGUCCGUGAAAACCUGUGGCUCAACUACAGGCUUGCGGACGAUACGGGCGGGCUAGAGUUCGGUAGGGGAGACUGGAAUUCCUGGUGUAGCGGUGAAAUGCGCAGAUAUCAGGAGGAACACCGGUGGCGAAGGCGGGUCUCUGGGCCGAUACUGACGCUGAGGAGCGAAAGCGUGGGGAGCGAACAGGAUUAGAUACCCUGGUAGUCC